UGUUUCGGCUAGGGGGCCAUCCCGGCUUACCAACCCGAUGCAAACUGCGAAUACCGGAGAAUGUUAUCACGGGAGACACACGGCGGGUGCUAACGUCCGUCGUGAAGAGGGAAACAACCCAGACCGCCAGCUAAGGUCCCAAAGUCAUGGUUAAGUGGGAAACGAUGUGGGAAGGCCCAGACAGCCAGGAUGUUGGCUUAGAAGCAGCCAUCAUUUAAAGAAAGCGUAAUAGCUCACUGGUCGAGUCGGCCUGCGCGGAAGAUGUAACGGGGCUAAACCAUGCACCGAAGCUGCGGCAGCGACACUGUGUGUUGUUGGGUAGGGGAGCGUUCUGUAAGCCUGUGAAGG
rnacentral:rRNA from 1 species